rnacentral:rRNA from 1 species
CAGAGGGGGCAAGCGUUAUUCGGAAUUAUUGGGCGUAAAGGGCGCGUAGGCGGCUUUGCAAGUGACGGGUGAAAUCCCUCGGCUUAACCGAGGAACUGCCUGUCAAACUGCAUGGCUUGAGACCGGGAGAGGUGAGUGGAAUUCCCAGUGUAGCGGUGAAAUGCGUAGAUAUUGGGAGGAGCACCAGUGGCGAAGGCGGCUCACUGGACCGGUACUGACGCUGAUGCGCGAAAGCGUGGGUAGCAAACAGGAUUAGAUACCCUGGUAGUCCACGCCGUAAACGAUGAGUGCUUGGUGUAGCGGGUAUCGACCCCUGCUGUGCCGAAGUCAACACAUUAAGCACUCCGCCUGGGGAGUACGGUCGCAAGGCUG